UUCAAAAAAAACAAUAAUUUCCUCUUUCUUCCUCUAUUCUUAAUAUCCACCAUUUUUUGUCUUAAGUUCUCCUUCUCCUCUUAAAUUUCUUUUUCGCCUUUUCUAUUGCUCCGCUUAAAUUCUCAUACUCUUAUUAAUUGUUUCUUCUUACUCGUUUUUAGUAGCAAUGUCCAAUUCACCUUUUUCAUUGUCUUCAUCUUCUUCAAUUGCAAAGAAGUAUGUUUAUGUGGGGUAAAAGCUGAAAUUAAGACCUCAUGAACACAACUCAACACUAGUCAGAGAUUUUUUUGCUGCAAAACUUCAAAGGCGAGAGGUGAAUGCAAUUAAUUCGAUUGGUAUGAUGAAGAAAUGCCUCCUCAAGCAAAGAGGGUGAUAUGGGGUUUAUUGAAAAAAGUCAAAUCAUUUGAAGAAGCGAGGAAUCGAUCAAGAAAAUUUAAAGUGAUAUGCGUUGGUGCAAUAGUGAUUUUGGCUACAUGAAAUUUCUUCAAGAAAUGUUCUUAGAUUUUGACAAAUAUUGACUUAGGUUUCUUAUAUAUGGGACUAUUUUGAUUUGGCUAAUUUUGAAAUAAAUUACUUGUAUGAGACUGUUUUGCUUUGGCUUUCCUGUUGUAGUAGGUUUGUUGUGUAUGAAACAAAUGAGAAGGAAUAAAGAUAAGUUGU